rnacentral:rRNA from 1 species
UACGUAGGGUGCGAGCGUUGUCCGGAAUUAUUGGGCGUAAAGGGCUCGUAGGCGGUUUGUCGCGUCGGGAGUGAAAACGCCGUGCUUAACACGGCGCUUGCUUUCGAUACGGGCAGACUAGAGGUAUGCAGGGGAGAACGGAAUUCCUGGUGUAGCGGUGAAAUGCGCAGAUAUCAGGAAGAACACCAAUGGCGAAGGCAGCUCUCUGGGACGGUACUGACGCUGAGACGCGAAAGCGUGGGGAGCGAACAGG